rnacentral:rRNA from 1 species
CCUACGGGAGGCUGCAGUGGGGAAUAUUGGACAAUGGGGGCAACCCUGAUCCAGCCAUGCCGCGUGUGUGAAGAAGGCCCUCGGGUUGUAAAGCACUUUCAGUGAGGAAGAACGCCUGGUGGUUAAUACCCAUCAGGAAAGACAUCACUCACAGAAGAAGCACCGGCUAACUCCGUGCCAGCAGCCGCGGUAAUACGGAGGGUGCGAGCGUUAAUCGGAAUUACUGGGCGUAAAGCGCGCGUAGGUGGCUUGAUAAGCCGGUUGUGAAAGCCCCGGGCUCAACCUGGGAACGGCAUCCGGAACUGUCAAGCUAGAGUGCAGGAGAGGAAGGUAGAAUUCCCGGUGUAGCGGUGAAAUGCGUAGAGAUCGGGAGGAAUACCAGUGGCGAAGGCGGCCUUCUGGACUGACACUGACACUGAGGUGCGAAAGCGUGGGUAGCAAACAGGAUUAGAUAUCCUGGUAGUC